GUGUAGCACAAAGCUAAUAAAGAUUCAUAUUGCUAUAGUACCUUUGAACAUCUUUUAGAUUAAGGGUGUACUGCGGCUACGUGGAGAGUGCUACUGUAUUCCAAUCGAGAAACAACUUCAGUUAAAGAAUCUUUCCAUUCACCAACAAAACAUACUUGUAUUCCACCAUGCCUUCGUAUAAGCUUACAUACUUUGAUUGCCGCUAUAAUACUGAAACUACCCGACUGAUAUUUGUGGCUUCUGGCACAGAAUUUGAGGAUAUUCUACUGCAUAUGGAUCACAAGGAUUUUUAUGUUCUAAAAAGCACUGGCAAGUUGCCGCUAGGUCAGGUACCAAUUCUGGAAGUGGAUGGUCGUCUUAUGUGCCAGAGUCGGGCUAUCCAGAGAUAUGUUGCCCGAGAAGUAGGCAAGUAUGGCAGCAGCAACGGAGAAGCUGCAACCAUCGAUGAAGUCACAGAAACAUGCGAUGAACUCCUAGAAAAUGCUGCACCAUGGUUGUAUCGGGAGCAGGACCCUGAGAAGAAGGCUGCUAUCAGGAAGGAAUACUUGGAGGAGAAGGGGCCGCACAGACUCUCUUACCUUGAGAAGAAGCUUCAGAGCAAUCCAUCAGGAUACUUUGCCGGAUCAAGCCUGACCCUUGCUGACCUUGCAGUAUUCAACAUUCUGGACAUCCUUAACGACAACAUGCCAGAGGUUAUCACAGCCUACCCCUCCCUCCUGGCGCUGAAGGCCAAGGUCGCAGCCGACGAGAAGAUUGCCAAAUACCUUACAACAAGGCCAAAGACUGAAAUUAGUGAAGAAGAAGCUUCUGUUAGCGAUGGGGCGGGAAAAAACCACAACAACCCUGUACUAGUGAAUGCGAAGAUGUAGAUAUCUUUACAGAUAUUAAUUGUCUUCUCUUCUACGAAUCUCUUUUUUUCUCAUUCAAUUUGGAUAUCAAAUUACAUUAUACAACAGGACUUCGGGCUGCCUAUGGAAUCUCUUGAGUCGUCGCGUGGAGGCAGUUUUGGUCAAAUAUAGCUAUUUUUGCUCGCAUGAGUAACAACAAUGACGUCAUUCAGGCUACCGACAUACUUUUCCCGUGUCACUCUAUUGUCUCAUAUAGGACCAAAGCUAUAACUUUCUGUUAAACCGAUGAAGUUUUUUUUUCUCGAAGAGAAGUGUAAUCAAUGAGGAGAAGAUGAAACCAUAUUUUCCUAGAGAGAUUCAAAAGUUUUCAUGAACUAAGGCUCGAAGAUGAACUAUGUGCUAAAGAACAUUUGACAUUGACAAAGGCAACAGGGUAUUUUUUAAUCUUAUUUUCAACAGGGUAACAAUUUCCAAUAGCAUGUUGGAUGUUGCCUUUAUAUGAACUAUAUUGAUACCAAAAAUAAAAUAACAACUUAUUACUGAGUAUGACUUAUGAUUAUUCCAUUGCUUUAUUGUAUCUGGACCCCGUUGUAAAACUCUUCAAAAGUUAACAAAGUUACCAUUAUUGGUACCUACCAUGGAAACUUCGGUUGAGUGAUGUUGCCAUGGUAGUUAAUAUUGAUGGCAAAUUACCAUUACUAUGCAACGGGGUCCACGAUUGUUAAAUUUAAUAAAUUUGAUAAAAUAAUUGUUCGAUAA